rnacentral:rRNA from 1 species
AUACGGAGGGUGCAAGCGUUGUCCGGAUUUAUUGGGUUUAAAGGGUGCGUAGGCGGUCAAUUAAGUCAGUGGUGAAAUCCUCCCGCUCAACGGGAGAACUGCCAUUGAUACUGGUUGACUUGAGUACAGACGAGGUAGGCGGAAUUUAUGGUGUAGCGGUGAAAUGCAUAGAUACCAUAAAGAACGCCGAUAGCGAAGGCAGCUUACUGGACUGUAACUGACGCUGAGGCACGAAAGCAUGGGUAGCGAACAGGAUUAGAAACCCUUGUAGUCC